rnacentral:rRNA from 1 species
AACGUAGGAGGCGAGCGUUAUCCGGAUUUACUGGGUGUAAAGCGCGUGCAGGCGGUCGGAUAAGUUGGGUGUGAAAGCUCCCGGCUCAACUGGGAGAGGUUGCUCAAGACUGUACGACUGGAGCGUGGCAGGGGAAGGCGGAAUUCCGGGUGUAGUGGUGAAAUGCGUAGAUAUCCGGAGGAACACCAGUGGCGAAAGCGGCCUUCUGGGCCAUGACUGACGCUCAGACGCGAAAGCUAGGGGAGCAAACGGGAUUAGAGACCCCGGUAGUCCUAGCCGUAAACGAUGUGAACUUGGCGGCGGAUGGGUAAAACCGAUCGCUGCCGGAGCCAACGCGAUAAGUUCACCACCUGGGGACUACGGCCGCAAGGUUAAA